GGAUAACCUACCCUUAGGACUGGAAUAACCUUGGGAAACUGAGGCUAAUACCGGAUAGGCAAUUUUUCCUGUAAUGGUUUUUUGUUUAAAUGUUUUUUCGCCUAAGGAUGGGUCUGCGGCCGAUUAGGUAGUUGGUUAGGUAAUGGCUUACCAAGCCGUUGAUCGGUACGGGUUGUGAGAGCAAGAGCCCGGAGAUGGAACCUGAGACAAGGUUCCAGGCCCUACGGGGUGCAGCAGGCGCGAAACCUCCGCAAUGUGAGAAAUCGCGACGGGGGGAUCCCAAGUGCCAUUCUUAACGGGAUGGCUUUUCAUUAGUGUAAAGAGCUUUUGGAAUAAGAGCUGGGCAAGACCGGUGCCAGCCGCCGCGGUAACACCGGCAGCUCUAGUGGUAGCAAUUUUUAUUGGGCCUAAAGCGUCCGUAGCCGGUUUAAUAAGUCUCUGGUGAAAUCCUGUAGCUUAACUGUGGGAAUUGCUGGAGAUACUAUUAGACUUGAGACCGGGAGAGGUUGGAGGUACUCCCAGGGUAGAGGUGAAAUUCUGUAAUCCUGGGAGGACCGCCUGUUGCGAAGGCGUCUAACUGGAACGGUUCUGACGGUGAGGGACGAAAGUUAGGGGCGCGAACCGGAUUAGAUACCCGGGUAGUCCUAACUGUAAACGAUGCGGACUUGGUGUUGGGGUGGCUUUGAGCUGCUCCAGUGCCGAAGGGAAGCUGUUAAGUCCGCCGCCUGGGAAGUACGGUCGCAAGACUGAAACUUAA
rnacentral:rRNA from 1 species